AUUGAUCUAUUUUGAUCCAAUGGCCCAUGUCAAUUCUCCUAACCACAUAAAAUUUUAACCUACCUCAAACCCUAAAUCCAUCUUCGAACCUAGCGACCCUCCUCCAAUUCCAGCCGCCGACCUCACAAUUGACCAAGCCUUCAGCGAACUUUAGCCGCCACUCCAAACAGAAACGAAAAAUAGGGAGAGCUUCAGCCGCAGAUCACGCAAAAAAGAGGGACUCUGACUCUUUCCUCUUCUUCCUCGCGAAAAGCAGCCCCAAACACCCAACUCUCCAGACCCAACCACAAACACACACACACACACACACACACACAAUGGGACAGGCAGAGAGUAAAGAACGGGAAAGGGGGGAUAGAGAUUGAGAGGGAUUAACUUUUUUUUAUAGAUGGAGUCCAAGAAACGGAGAGGAGUUUAGACAGAGAAAUUGGGUUGAAAAGCUAGAUUUUCUGAAAAAGGUUUUGGGUUCAAUCCUUGGCUUCGAAAUUUGGAGAAGUUGUCCAAACUAUGUUCAAAGUUUCAGUUCUCUUUUGGAUUUCAAAAGAAGAGAAAUACACAAAAAGACGUCUCUAUUUUAGGAUGAGUUAGAUUUCAGAUUGGCUUUCAGUAAAUAUGCAAAAAUAUUUAGUUUCUUCUUUUAAUUUUUAAUUUCAAAGUAAGAGUUAGUGUUGGAGUUUAAGGAGAAGAAAUACCAAAAAUAUAUCUUAGUUUCUUCCCCUUUCGUUUUCGGUUUCAAACCAAGAAUUGCGAUCAAGAUUGAAGUCUAUUUGAGUUCGUUUAGUCGAGCUGUCGUUCGAGGUUGAAAGUCGCAGUUUCCCUUGGCGUUUUCAUUCCUGGUCUGUCGAGGUCAUCAAAAGGUAUGGAUUCAUUUACCAGAGCUCGAACAUGACAGAUACCCGAGGACCAUCGCAUUUGGGAGCUUGUUUGAGGAAACUUUUCGUGUUUGGAGUCUACUUUUGUGGUGUUUUUCUUUUUACUUUCUAGUCUUGUCUAGUAGUAUUCUUGCUUUUAGUUGGUGUCAGAUUUUGUCGUAGUAUAGUUGAGAUUGUCGAGUCUCUCGUUAUUCCUGUUUUGUAUUUGAAAAUUAAAAAAAAAGUUAUAAAUGAAAAAUCCAAAAAGAUUUUGUUUUUA